rnacentral:rRNA from 1 species
CCUACGGGAGGCAGCAGUGAGGACUAUUGGUCAAUGGGCGCGAGCCUGAACCAGCCAAGUAGCGUGAAGGAUGCCUGCCCUACGGGUUGUAAACUUCUUUUAUAAAGGACUAAAGUGAGGCACGUGUGCCUUUUUGUGUGUACUUUAUGAAUAAGGCUCGUCUAACUCCGUGCCAGCAGCCGCGGUCAUACGGCGGAUACGAGCGUUAUCCGGAUUUAUUGGGUUUAAAGGGAGCGUAGAUGGGUUGUUAAGUCAGUUGUGAAAGGUUGCGGCUCAACCGGAAAAUUGCAAUUGAUACUGGCAGCCUUGAGUACAGGUGAGGUAGGCGGAAUUCGUGGUGUAGCCGUGAAAUGCUGAGAUAUCACGAAGAACUCCGAUUGCGAAGGCAGCCUACUAAACUGCCACUGACAUUGAUGCUCGAAAGUGUGGGUAUCAAACAGGAUUAGAUACCCGGGUAGUC